rnacentral:rRNA from 1 species
UACGGGGGGAGCAAGCGUUGUUCGGAUUUACUGGGCGUAAAGGGCGCGUAGGCGGUCAGCACAAGUCAGUUGUGAAAUCUCCGGGCUUAACUCGGAAAGGUCAACUGAUACUGUGCGACUAGAGUGCAGAAGGGGCAACUGGAAUUCUCGGUGUAGCGGUGAAAUGCGUAGAUAUCGAGAGGAACACCUGCGGCGAAGGCGACCACCUGGACUGAUACUGACACUGAGGUGCGAAAGCGUGGGGAGCAAACAGG